rnacentral:lncRNA from 1 species
CAGACCAUGCUACAUAUUGAACACAGGCCACAGAUCUGACUCUUUCUCCAAAGUUUUUACAGGAAAUUGAUGAUAUAUUUUUCUUAUAAAAAUGUUUCUUCUUACUUCCAAACCACUGUACAUGGGCAAAAAUGACAAAAGAGGAAGAAAGGAGAGAAUCUUUGAACUAGAGCAGGAAUAAGGUUCCCCAUGUUCAACUUUUCAGUGUCUGCUGGAAUGUGACGGUGAGUUGGGAACAGGGUGUGACCUCUUUUAUACCUUAAUAGUUCUCUAAAUAACUGAUAUUUUGCAAACAUAUAGGGACUUGAAAUCUAAAAAGGUAAAAAUUCAACUUUACUCCUCUUCCUUCCAGUAGAUUUGAGGUAAGGUCCGAUUAUCUAGAAAGUGUAGCAGGCCUGAGUCUCCUGAGAGUGGGAGACUUUACUUUCAUGUUCUCUUCUGCUAAAGGUGCCUGUUCACCUGGUCCACCAAGCUGCUAUUUUUCCACCAAGCUGGCUAUUUGGGACCAAGCAGAACCAAGUUUGGUUCCACAUGGUGCUGUGUGGCAUACCUACUGUUAGCUCUCACUGCCUGGUACAAUUAUUUCCAAAAGAUUGAGUCAGAUUCUUUCUAUAAGAGGUAUUUUUUAUGAGAAGUGCUUUGUGUCCUGUGUAUUCAAAGGGACUGUUCUGUUUAGAACAAACUCAGUGAGAAUUUAGCUGGGCCUGCUACAGUCUCAAAGUACUCAUUGGGUCCUUAUGACACCCACUGAUAUUUUGGGUACUUUCUUUCUUUCUUUUUUUUUAUACAUUUACUUUAUUUAUUUAUUUUUAUGUGGUGCUGAGGAUUGAGUCCAGUGCCUUACAUAUGCUAGGCAAGCGCUCUACCACUGAGCCACAACUCCAGCCCCUGGGUACUUUAUUUUUGUGCUUGUGGAUUCCACUCUUCUUCCUAACUCUUCCCUGGCUGUGAUACAGAAACUGCUCUAUUGUCUACUCUGUCUCCUCAUUUUGUAUUAGAAAUACAGAGAUGGAAAGAAGGCAUUUUAGUCCUAGAGUGGACCCAAAACAUGAACCCCCAAAUACUCCUUUCGUGAGUGCAUGCCCACCACCAGCCUGUUUACCAGAACUUUUCUUUCUCAACAAUGAGGAAUCAGGGAAAAUGUAUAGCUGGUGUGAUUUUUUUCAAUCCGUAGAACACUAGGUGAAGAAAGAAAUAUUUCAUGUCUGUUUUCCUUAAAUUUAAUUCUGUUACCAGGACCCCUCCCAUCAUCUACCUAGUUGGUGGGUUCCUCACAAAUUCCAAGAUUAUGCAAAAGUAUCCAGAUUUUAUGUGGUGUCAAGUUGCUGAGAAGGCGCUGCCAGUCAUCACAAUACUUCUGAAACAGCACUGUCUAGUCUGACAGUCCCAUCAAGAGAGUGUGGCAUUUUCCUUGUUACCCCAGAAUCUUGGGUGGAGUUGUAACCUAAGAUUAUGAAUAGUUGUAACUCUAUGCACCAUGUUGCCCCUGAGGACUGUGGAGCAGGAGCCCAACGCCUACUCCUUGAGAGACUCAUAAUUCCUUCCCCCACCUCCCAGAUUUUCAUUUCCCUGCUAUCCUCUUUGCAUCCCCUCUACUUUUUGAGCAUUGGUCUUAAUCCUAAUCUCAGGAUUUGAGUUUCCACAAAAGCUAAUAUCCCUUUUCUUCACAUUUGGUUUGAUUUUCCUUGUCUGGUGCCUGGCUGCUUGCUUGAAAAUCUUGUAUGGGAGGAUUCAAGAUGGCGGAUUAGAGGAAAGAUGCUUUCCUAGUUUCUCCAUGGCUCGGGAUUCAAGAAGCAAGAGUACUGCUUCUCAG